rnacentral:snRNA from 1 species
AGGAAUGAUAGAACAGCUGA